ensembl:lncRNA
UGUCCAGUAUUUAAAUGGAAAUGGUUGAAUGAUUUUAGUAAUUGAACAUUGGCUAAUAAAUGAUAUCAAUAUAAUGAGUGAUUUGAAAAGUGGGUGGAGGGAUUGGAUUGUUUUGCACACUGAGGAAGGCUUUGAGCUGAAACGUUUGUGUCUUUUCCCAUAAGUGAUGAAUGUAAGAUAAAAUGUAAAAAGAAGACUGUUCUCGUGAGUGCGGAUCAUAAUUUCUUAUCCUAAGUAACUUACAGAUUAAUGCACCAAAUAAAAAUUAAGUAACGGAAGAGCACAGUGCAAAUGGCGUUGUUGAAAAAUUUAUUCUAAGGAAUACAAUUUACCAUUGGGAACACAAGAUUAUUUUUAUUAUUUUGUAAUUUUAGACAUUACACAAUGAGUGAGGAAAAGAAAGAGAAAGAAAGGCAAUAUCUGAGAUCCUGGAGAGCUGCCAAACGUGUUUUAAAAAAAAUAGGGAAAAAAAACACAGAAGUAAAUGAUCCAGAACAAGUCCCAGGGUGUCAGACCGACUCUGAUGAUGCAUUAAGUUGUAUGGAGGACCACCUGUCCACUACAGCAUCGUGUACUUUGGAAGAAAGUGACUGGGAUGAUGACUUUGUGGAAGACAUGGACCUUGAUGAAAAUGACAUGACUGACCAGGAAGACAUGACUGACCAUGACAACAAAUCAUCACUGGGAACAGAUCUAGCAACCUGGGCAUCCCAAUUCCAAGUCAAAAACAAUGCUGUUGACCAUUUAUUAAAGGUCCUUCAGAAACACGGCCAUACAGACCUUCCAUCCACUGCCCGUACAUUGCUGAAAACACCAAGGCACGUGACAACCAUACAAAAAUCUGGAAUGGAAUAUUUCCAUUACCCCCUCCAUCAAAAGCUACUAGAACACCUGGAGAAGUACUCUGUAGAAGAGCUGCAAAACCAUGACAACAUCGAUUUGUCUUUUAAUGUUGACGGUCUACCGUUAUUCAAGAGCUCAGGGAAAGUAAUGUGGCCUGUCCUCUGUGCCAUCCACCUGAAUCCCAUUGUUGUUUUCCCCACAACUUUAACUUGUGGAAACCACCGGCCAAAAGAUCUGCAUUUUUUAGAAGAUUUUGUAGCAGACCUCGAAGACCUCCUAUCUAGCGGCAUUCAAUGCAAAGGUAAAAAACAUUGCAUAAAUGUUCUCUGCAUCGUCUGCGAUGCUCCAGCGAAAGCUUUUGUCCGGGGCACAAAGCUAUACUCAGGAUAUUAUGGCUGCGAUAACUGUGACCAAAAGGGUGAAUGGUUCAACAGAGUGACUUUU